GAUGAACGCUGGCGGCGUGCCUAAUACAUGCAAGUCGAGCGAACGGACGAGAAGCUUGCUUCUCUGAUGUUAGCGGCGGACGGGUGAGUAACACGUGGAUAACCUACCUACAAGACUGGGAUAACUUCGGGAAACCGGAGCUAAUACCGGAUAAUAUUUUGAACCGCAUGGUUCAAAAGUGGAAGACGGUCUUGCUGUCACUUAUAGAUGGAUCCGCGCUGCAUUAGCUAGUUGGUAAGGUAACGGCUUACCAAGGCAACGAUGCAUAGCCGACCUGAGAGGGUGAUCGGCCACACUGGAACUGAGACACGGUCCAGACUCCUACGGGAGGCAGCAGUAGGGAAUCUUCCGCAAUGGGCGAAAGCCUGACGGAGCAACGCCGCGUGAGUGAUGAAGGUCUUCGGAUCGUAAAACUCUGUUAUUAGGGAAGAACAUAUGUGUAAGUAACUGUGCACAUCUUGACGGUACCUAAUCAGAAAGCCACGGCUAACUACGUGCCAGCAGCCGCGGUAAUACGUAGGUGGCAAGCGUUGUCCGGAAUUAUUGGGCGUAAAGCGCGCGUAGGCGGUUUUUUAAGUCUGAUGUGAAAGCCCACGGCCCAACCGUGGAGGGUCAUUGGAAACUGGAAAACUUGAGUGCAGAAGAGGAAAGUGGAAUUCCAUGUGUAGCGGUGAAAUGCGCAGAGAUAUGGAGGAACACCAGUGGCGAAGGCGACUUUCUGGUCUGUAACUGACGCUGAUGUGCGAAAGCGUGGGGAUCAAACAGGAUUAGAUACCCUGGUAGUCCACGCCGUAAACGAUGAGUGCUAAGUGUUAGGGGGUUUCCGCCCCUUAGUGCUGCAGCUAACGCAUUAAGCACUCCGCCUGGGGAGUACGACCGCAAGGUUGAAACUCAAAGGAAUUGACGGGGACCCGCACAAGCGGUGGAGCAUGUGGUUUAAUUCGAAGCAACGCGAAGAACCUUACCAAAUCUUGACAUCCUUUGACAACUCUAGAGAUAGAGCUUUCCCCUUCGGGGGACAAAGUGACAGGUGGUGCAUGGUUGUCGUCAGCUCGUGUCGUGAGAUGUUGGGUUAAGUCCCGCAACGAGCGCAACCCUUAAGCUUAGUUGCCAUCAUUAAGUUGGGCACUCUAAGUUGACUGCCGGUGACAAACCGGAGGAAGGUGGGGAUGACGUCAAAUCAUCAUGCCCCUUAUGAUUUGGGCUACACACGUGCUACAAUGGACAAUACAAAGGGCAGCGAAACCGCGAGGUCAAGCAAAUCCCAUAAAGUUGUUCUCAGUUCGGAUUGUAGUCUGCAACUCGACUACAUGAAGCUGGAAUCGCUAGUAAUCGUAGAUCAGCAUGCUACGGUGAAUACGUUCCCGGGUCU
rnacentral:rRNA from 1 species